GAUGAAGAACGCAGCGAAAUGCGAUAAGUAAUGUGAAUUGCAGAAUUCAGUGAAUCAUCGAAUCUUUGAACGCACAUUGCGCCCGCCAGUAUUCUGGCGGGCAUGCCUGUUCGAGCGUCAUUUCAACCAUCAAGCCCCCGGGCCUGUGUUGGGGACCUGCGGCUGCCCGCAGGCCCCGAAAACCAGUGGCGGGCUCGCUGUCACCCCGAGCGUAGUAGCAACACCUCGCCCAGGGAGUGCCGCGGGCACCGGCCGUAAAACCUCCUCUCGCCCCCCCCGCGGGAGGGAACACCCCAAAGGUUGACCUCGGAUCAGGUAGGAAUACCCGCUGAACUUAAGCAUAUCAAUAAGCGGAGGA
rnacentral:misc_RNA from 1 species